GCCAGGGAACUACGAGCAAAGCUUAAAACCCAAAGGACUUGACGGUGCCCCACAUCCUCCUAGAGGAGCCUGUCCUAUAAUCGAUUAUCCCCGUUCAACCUCACCAUUUUUAGCUUAUCAGCCUGUAUACUUCCGUCGUCAGCCUACCGCGUGAGCGAACAGUAAGUACAAUGUCUCUCAUCAAUACGUCAGGUCAAAGUGCAGCAUAUAAAAUGGCAAGAGAUGGGCUACACUUUCUACCCUAGAAGACACGAAGAUUAUGUGAAACCAUAUUCGGAAGGUGGAUUUAGUAGUAAGGGGGAUUAGAAUACCCCCCUUA
rnacentral:rRNA from 1 species